rnacentral:rRNA from 1 species
GAGUGGUCUCCUACGGGAGGCAGCAGUGGGGAAUAUUGCACAAUGGGCGCAAGCCUGAUGCAGCGACGCCGCGUGAGGGAUGACGGCCUUCGGGUUGUAAACCUCUGUUAGCAGGGAAGAAGAGAGAUUGACGGUACCUGCAGAGAAAGCGCCGGCUAACUACGUGCCAGCAGCCGCGGUAAUACGUAGGGCGCGAGCGUUGUCCGGAAUUAUUGGGCGUAAAGAGCUUGUAGGCGGUUUGUCGCGGCUGCUGUGAAAGGCCGGGGCUUAACUCCGGGUAUUGCAGGGGGUACGGGCAGACUAGAGUACAGUAGGGGAGACUGGAAUUCCUGGUGUAGCGGUGGAAUGCGCAGAUAUCAGGAGGAACACCGAUGGCGAAGGCAGGUCUCUGGGCUGUAACUGACGCUGAGAAGCGAAAGCAUGGGGAGCGAACAGGAUUAGAAACCCCGGAAGUCCAGAGAA